rnacentral:tRNA from 1 species
GCCGGGGUGGCGGAAUGGCAGACGCGGCGGACUUAAAAUCCGCUGUCCAUUAUGGGCGUGCGGGUUCGAGUCCCGCCCUCGGCACCA